GGCGAAGGGGGUACGGCCAUGACGGGAGACCGUGUUUGUGGCAGGUGCCUAGCCUUGCCGACGGGGCGUGGUCCUGCAGAGACAUGAGUACUGAAGCAGAACAGCAGCUUCUCCAUGAUGCCAGAAAUGGAAAUGCUGAAGAAGUUAAACAGCUGUUGGAUACCAUGGACAAAGGAGAAAUAAGCUUUGAUAUCAACUGUAAAGGCAGAAGUAAAUCUAAUAUGGGUUGGACACCUCUUCACCUUGCGUGCUACUUUGGGCAUGCUGUUGUGGUAGAGGAUUUGCUGAAGGCUGGUGCAGAUGUGAAUGUCCUGAAUGACAUGGGGGACACUCCACUCCAUCGUGCAGCUUUCACAGGACGUAAGGAGGUGGUGAUGUUACUCUUGCAGCACAAUGCUGAUACUUCUAUUGUUAAUGGGAGUGGAGAGACCGCAAAAGAAGUUACUCAUGAUAAAGACAUAAGGAAUAUGUUAGAAGCAGUGGAAAGGACACAAGAAAGGAAACUGGAAGAACAACUUCUAGGAGCAGCAAGAGAGGGGGAAACAGGGAAACUGACUGCCUUGCUGAACAAGCCUAAACCACCUGAUAUCAACUGUACAGAUCAGAUGGGGAACACACCAUUGCAUUGUGCAGCAUACCGUGCCCAUAAGCACUGUGCACUGAAACUUCUGAAAAAUGGAGCAGAUCCUAAAAUAAGAAACAAGAAUGAUCAGACACCCUUUGAUCUAGCCCAAGGUGCAGAAAUGAAACUGAUACUGGGAAGUAAAACUGGAAAGGUUAUCAACAAACCCCUGAGACGUUAUGAAGGUCUUCUAUGGAAGAGCUCACGAUUUUUUGGUUGGAGACUUUACUGGAUAGUUCUAGAACAUGGAGUCCUUUCCUGGUAUCGGAGACAAGCUGAUGCAGUGAAUAAUGAUCAUCGUCAGGGAUGCAAGCAUCUAACACAAGCCGUCUGCACGGUAAAAUCUACAGACAGCUGCUUCUUUUCUGUCAGAUGUUUUGAUGACACUGUUCAUCGUUUCAAGAUUCCUAAAAAUAGCCUUCCUUCUCAAACUAGAGAGAGUUGGCUGGAAGCGAUAGAAGACCACUCUGCAUAUAGCACUCAUUACUGCACACAGGAACAGCUGAGUAGCGAUGAGGAGGAUGAUGAUACAGUAUCUGUUACAGACCUACGGGAUACUCUGAAAAAAGCACAAGCAUGCCAACAAAGACUCAGUAAAGAGAUUUCGGACUUUCUUACAAUGGUUAAAUCUUUGGAUGCUACAAAAGGAAUACCUUCUCCCAUCCUGCAAAAGGUUGAUGUGGUCUCUGAAGUAUCCCAGGAAACAUGCGAGGCCCUGGCUGACUGCCUCAACCUAUUCACAAAGCAAGAAGGGGUGAGGAAUUUGAAACUGGAGCAUGAGCAGGAGAAAAACAAGAUCUUGUCAGAAGCAUUAGAGACACUAGCUACUGAACACCAUGAACUAGAGCAGUCGCUGGUUAAAGGAUCUCCACCUCUCAGCAUCAUCAGUGAAGAGCAGUUCUAUGAUGCUGUUUCAGAUUCAGAAUCGGAAAAAUCAUUAAGUGGGUUUGAAACAACGGCCUACUCAUUAGAGGACAGCAUGGAUUCAAAAGAUACAAUAACUCCAAGCAUGUCCGAAGAAAAGGUUUGUGGCAGUGGGGAGUCGCUGUCUAAUGGAAUCAAAAAACACAGAACAAGCUUGCCAUCCCCAAUGUUUUCCAGGAAUGACUUCAGUAUCUGGAGCAUCUUAAGAAAAUGCAUUGGCAUGGAACUGUCGAAGAUCACAAUGCCGGUUAUAUUCAAUGAGCCACUGAGCUUUCUACAGCGACUUACAGAGUAUAUGGAGCAUACAUACCUCAUCCACAAAGCCAGCUCGCUUUCUAGCACAAUUGAGCGAAUGCAGUGUGUUGCCGCAUUUGCUGUGUCUGCAGUAGCAUCACAGUGGGAACGUACAGGGAAGCCAUUCAACCCAUUGCUUGGAGAGACAUAUGAAUUGAUCAGAGAUGAUCUUGGAUUUAGACUUCUCUCAGAGCAAGUUAGCCAUCAUCCACCAAUCAGUGCUUUCUAUGCUGAAGGUUUAAAUAAUGAUUUUGUGUUUCAUGGAUCAAUUUAUCCUAAACUCAAGUUCUGGGGCAAGAGCGUGGAAGCAGAACCAAAAGGCACAAUGACUUUGGAGCUUCUUGAACACAAUGAAGCCUAUACGUGGACAAAUCCUACGUGCUGCGUGCAUAACAUCAUUGUGGGCAAACUUUGGAUUGAGCAGUAUGGAAAUGUGGAAAUAACUAACCAUAAAACUGGUGAGAAAUGUGUGCUAAGCUUCAAGCCCUGUGGCCUCUUUGGGAAGGAGUUGCACAAAGUGGAAGGCUACAUUCAGGACAAAAGCAAAAAGAAACUCUGUGCGCUGUACGGGAAGUGGACCGAGUGUUUGUACAGUGUUGAUCCAACCACAUUUGAAGCUUACAAAAAAAAUGACAAGAAAAACACAGAAGAGAAGAAAAGUGGUAAACAGGUGACCAAUACUGAGGAACCAGAUGAAAUGCCAUUGCCAGAUUCUGAAAGCGUGUAUGUUAUUCCUGGAAGUAUUUUGUUAUGGAAGAUAACUCCAAGACCCCCAAAUUCAGCACAGAUGUAUAAUUUUACUAGCUUUGCCAUGGCUUUGAAUGAGUUGGACAAAGAAAUGGAGAGUGUCAUUCCCAAAACUGACUGCCGGCUACGACCAGAUAUCAGAGCCAUGGAAAAUGGAGAAAUAGAUCUGGCUAGUGAAGAAAAGAAGAGGCUAGAAGAAAAACAAAGGACCGCCCGCAAAAAUCGUUCAAAGUCCGAGGAAGACUGGAAGACGAGAUGGUUCCACCAAGGCCCCAAUCCCUAUACUGGUACGCAGGACUGGCUUUAUUCUGGCAGCUACUGGGACAGAAACUACUUUAACUUGCCUGAUAUUUAUUAAAAUGCAAUAAGGAGCCUGUGACUGAUAAAAAUAAGUCUUAAUCUGUUUUAAUGCUUUCCCUUGUUUUACUUAUCUCCUGAAAAACUGACAUGUUAUCAAAGAGAAUAUAAAGCAUCUCCACAGUAAAUCUGGUGGUACCUGAUCCGCAGUCCCAUAAGCAGGGGAAUAAUUUUUCUGGCUGAUGGUGGGUCCUGUGGACAAAGUCAGUCGCCAUGGUUCUGAGCUGCCCUGUGUGCAGAAUACACCUAUAUUAGGUUGUGGUGUAUGAGGGAUAGAACACCUUCGACUGUUCUGUGAAUACUUUCUUUCAUAGAUAACAUUGGCACAAGUAAAACUGGUUUUAUUUAUUGUGACAUGGGAAUGUUUAAAAGCACACACAGUAACUGCAAUAUUCUGUUCUUAAAUGAAGAAUGGUGUGUCACUUUUGUAAAGAUGUAAUUUUUCAUAAAGUGACUUUUCUUUUACUAAAGUAACUCCCUUGAAUCCUGAGCUCUGAUCAGAUUCCAGGAGUGUUCCCGUGUCUGGAGCAUUAAUGCAGUUGUGACAUUACUCAAAGGUAUUUAUUCAAUGUUUUGUGCAGUGUGUUUUGGAUUUUGCUCUUCUGUUUUGUUACCAACCUUUAUGGUUUAAGGAAUUAAGAGCCAUUUAAAUAUCCAUGGAUUUGAUUUGAACUGCACACUAGUAACAGGUUUUAAAAGAAUCUGUUUCAUGCACUAGAAGUUCUGGUGCCCAGCACCACUACAAAAAGAAUAACCUAAUCAGUCCAGGACCCAGCUGAAACAUGGCAGGGGGGGACAGGACCUGUGUCUGUACUGUGCAGACUCCCUGGGAGGAAGUCUUGUGCAUUUCAGAGGUAGUACAGCACCUCAGUGAGGCCUCCUGUGCACAGCUGCUUUACCCCUUUUCAGUGGGGUGCAUUCAAUCUUAGAGUGUAAGUUUAUAUUGAACUGUGUACAGAGCUUCUAGAGGGCAAACUGCUCUUUGUACAAUAUUUUAACUGCUGUCUGGAGGUUAGUGUUAAUUGAAUAAUUUAAUUGCUACUAAAUAAAGGCUUCAAAACUACUUGCAUCCAGUCUAAAGUUGAGUGGUGUUUGACAGCACUGACCCUUUCUGCCCAAGCCUGCUGCAAAAGCUGCUGCAAUGAUGCUGUUAUUGAGCUUCCCUGUGCUUUGGGGAAAGAGAAGAGAAGCCCCUAAACAGGAACAGUCCGAUUACGGAAGGUGGGAUUGUCUGGGGAACUGAGAGCUCCGUCCUGGAAUAUGCAGUGAGGCUACAGCUCUAGCCUUGAGGAUUGACUAGUGAAACUGUUAAUAAGGUAAUGAGAUCCUUUCUAUUUUUACUCUUUGCUCCUAGAAUUACACAGAUAGUUAUGCUAAGACUUAUUUGCAUAGAUAAGGGAAAGCCUUUUCUUUGGCAGUCUUUCACAGGAGGGCCCAGCUCUCACAGUGUGGUGUAGAUGCUGAAAUUUAAUACCUGCACUGUCUCUUGGAAGCUCCAUCUCUGUGCUUAAGCCUCCCCUCUGGACAGUAUUUCUUGAAGUCGGUCUUAAUUCCUGCAGAACUUCAUGGGGAAUCCUGAGAUCAUAGAAGGGUUUGAGUUGGAAUUAGAUGAUCUGUCAGAUCCCUUCCAACUCCCCUGCCAUGGGUGGGGACAUGUCCCACUAAAUCAGGCUGCCCAAGCCCCCAUCCAACCUGUUCUUGAACACCUCCAGGCAUGGGGCAGCCAUAACUUCCUUGAGGAACCUGUGCCAGUGCCUCACCACUCUCACAGUGAGGAAUUCCCUCCUUAUGUCCAGUCUAAAUCUGCCCCUCUCCAGUUUAUAGCCAUUCCCCUUACUCCUGUCACUACGGGGCAGUCUGGCUGAUGGGUCUAUGCUUCAGGUCACACAGCAUUGAACAUUCAGUGGUAGGAUAAACAAAGCAUUUAGUUCCUGCCUGCCCGUCUGGGUUCAAGAGGGGGAAAUGUCUGCACAACAUCAACUUUUCUUCUGUUGUUUUGAAUGACUUCUUACUUCAAGUUUGCCAUAUUUACAUGAGCACAGCUGUAUAGUUGUGAAACCUCUAAAGCAAACAAAGGUUCUUGAUUUCUUGACCCCUUCCUUGAAGUAUAGCCUCAGCUGUCCUCUCUGAUAAACACCUCUAGUUUGAAUGCAUUGACCAUGUGUGAGAGUAAUUCCUUCUCGCGUUAGUUGCAAGUAUGAUUCCUGUCUUGAUUGUGAUACUUGUGUAGCGUUCCUUCCUGGAGCGUAACCCCAGCCUCCUGGGUCCACUGAGCUGUGGCUGGGUCUGGGAUCAUACACCAUUUAGCACUGAGGAAGCUGGGCCACUCUUUGGUGAAACAGCUGCAGCAGAUGUGUCUCUGGUCGCAAUUCACACAAAGUUAACACUUGGGAUUGUUGUGCUAUGCUUAGAAAGCAUAAAACGCAUGGGAAUGCAGUUCUGAUGGCUUUUUUUGAGCACUUGCAUGAAGUUAUUUGAUUUAUUAUAAAAUCCAUUCCUCCUGAACUCUUCCUGAAAUCCAAACACUCUCUCUUCUUGACCUGUUUAUAAAACAGCAUGAACUUAACAGAAAGUGUGCAGUGAGAGCUACAUUAAUUGCUACCUACACGCCCUCUAGAGGGUGUUUUGCCACACUUUGGCUGCAGGCAUAGUACGGCAUUCAAAAUUUGAGGGUUCAAGAUACGUGUAAAUGAGAUUAAAACUUAGUAGUACUGAUUCCAGAGUAACCAAUUGCAAAGUGCAACAAGCAGAGGAAAGCAUUGGGUCGGUUAUAUAUGGCAGUUAGUUUAACCACUAUUCUUAAGCCUUAUUUUAUUUUGAAAAGGAUGAAAUAAAGCUUUUAGUAAUGAAAUCCAAAUGCUAGCAUUUCCCUCUGCAGGACACGCGCAAGAAGCAAGCUUACUUCUUCAUGACGCUGCUCUGAAAAUGGGGCUUGAUGUAAUGGCACUGCCCUCUACCACUAAACUUCCCAUAGAGGAUUUAUACCUGUAUGCUUACCACCAGCUGAUGAGCUGUUCUUCACAGCCAUCGCAUCAUCCAGAGGGACCACUGAUGAAGCUGUGCAGCUGGAAGCUGAAACACAAAGAUGACAGAAAGAGCCAAACUUUCUUACCUGGCAAGACAUAAACUUACUCAGCUAAUUAAUUCUACCUGUGCUGCAGAUUCCAUUCUCUCAGGAUGGCACACGAAAUCAUCAGCAGAUGGACCUAAGGUUGCAGCACUUAAGCGCUGGCCUGCAUUUAAAGGCCGCUCAGCCUUCAACAGACAAGCUGGUCUACAAAGGGAAUUACUAUUUUCUGUGGGAACUACACAAGCUGGAACCUCUUCAUCCACAAUCAGCUCAUCAUCCGAACACAGUGAUACAGCCUCUGUGUUUAAGGUAACCUCACAUUCAUUGGAGGAAGGUAGAGCCUGCAGUGGAUCUUUAGGAACAGGUAAUGGUGGUGGUGAAAGAGAUUAUAGUUAUGGUUCUUCCCACAGGGGAGCCAAGGAAGCUUGACUUAAACCAUUUGUUGGGGCAUCAGCCUGGCUGCCUGAGGGCCCUAAUUCUCCAGCUAUGGAGGACUGACUGCACUCCUUGCUGUGACCCAACAGCUUCAGGUGCUGGAACAGCAGAAACAUCUUCAGCAGCACCUUCUGCUGGUGUAGAUUCAUUCUCUGAGGUCUGAGUCUUCAUGAAAAAUCUGCACACUGGUUGCCACAUGUC